UGAGAGUGGCGCACGGGUGCGUAACGCGUAUGCAACCUACCUUUUACAGGGAGAUAGCCCGGGGAAACUCGGAUUAAUACCCCAUAGUAUAAUGAAACUGCAUGGUUUUAUUAUUAAAGCUUAGGCGGUAAAAGAUGGGCAUGCGUCUGAUUAGCUAGAUGGUGAGGUAACGGCUCACCAUGGCGAUGAUCAGUAGGGGUUCUGAGAGGAUGAUCCCCCACACUGGUACUGAGACACGGACCAGACUCCUACGGGAGGCAGCAGUAGGGAAUAUUGGUCAAUGGGCGAGAGCCUGAACCAGCCAUGCCGCGUGCAGGAAGACGGCCUUCUGGGUUGUAAACUGCUUUUCUACGGGAAGAAAAAGCUUAUGCGUAAGCAAUUGACGGUACUGUAGGAAUAAGCACCGGCUAACUCCGUGCCAGCAGCCGCGGUAAUACGGAGGGUGCGAGCGUUGUCCGGAUUUAUUGGGUUUAAAGGGUGCGUAGGCGGCUUAUUAAGUCAGUGGUGAAAUCUUUCGGCUUAACCGAGAAACUGCCAUUGAAACUGAUGAGCUUGAGUUUGAGUGAGGUAGGCGGAAUUUAUGGUGUAGCGGUGAAAUGCAUAGAUACCAUAAAGAACACCGAUAGCGUAGGCAGCUUACUGGCUCGCAACUGACGCUGAGGCACGAAAGCAUGGGUAUCGAACAGGAUUAGAUACCCUGGUAGUCCAUGCUGUAAACGAUGAUUACUCGCUGUUGGUCUUUAGGGAUCAGUGGCCAAGCGAAAGCGUUAAGUAAUCCACCUGGGGAGUACGU
rnacentral:rRNA from 1 species